UAAUAAACAAUUUGAUUAAAAAAAAUCUAAAUUUUGGUAUUAUUUAAAAUUUUACAGCUUAGUUACACUGUCCCCAAAUGAGGAUCAAUAUUUAGGAAUUUUUUUUUUUUUUUGCAUGUUUAUUAGGUGCUACAAGUUACAAAUUAGAAAGGGAAAAUGCACACAGAAGUCACACUCGGGUCUCAGGCGGUUAAAAGGGAGAAAACACGUCCAAAUUUUUGACUGUGCAUCUGAUAACACUUGCUAAUUUGCCCCAAAUUCAUCUGUCACAAGGUUUUUCUGCUAGUUAAAUUAAAUAGAUGUCAGUGUGGACAAAAUGAUACAAACUUAAAUAAAAUAUGGUCCAGACUACAUUAAAUACAAAGAUAAGCAUGGUUUGUGUUGACCACAAUGUGUUUUGUGCAGUGAAUUAUUGGCUGCCAUCCGCCUUAAAAACAAUACCCAAAAAUUUGCCAAGACUUGAUCACUUUGGUUUCUAAAUGCCUUUAAAUUUUUAUGUUUUAAGUAUAUUUCUGUUUACGUUUGUGCGAUGAACAAUUGUGGUACUGUUUUGGAUGCCCAAUAUAAAAUCUGGGUCCUGAGGGAAAACCAGUUAAGAGCCACUAGUUUUGGGCUUAACCAAGCUGUGGGCAAAGAGGGCAUCAUGGGUGUGUCGGUUUCAAAGGGGGGGGUGGGAGUUGGACAUUGCUGACGUGGCACUUAGGCUGGUACUGGUCUGAACGGCACAGUACUUAAUGUAGUUUUUGGUGAAUGCCUCCACCAACACAAGAAUGUUAUUUAGCAGUUGGCAUAUUGGCACAUAUGCCAACCUGCAUCCUGUCUUUUUAGUGUGCUUUAUUGUCCCUGCAAUAGUGGAGAGAUGGGUUUCCUUGAUGCUGGACCGUGUAGACAUUCAUAUUUUCCUUUAGUUCUCAUUUUGAAAACUUUUCCGAACUUUGGAUGCACUACUUACUGUACUGAAUAUCCAGUCAAAUUUCCGAUAUCGCAGACGCAAGUUACAGACUGAAAAAUAGUGGAAGAUGUUGCAUAUAAUUUCCAUUUGUUGCUCAAAAUGUUUGACGAAACAAGUAUGACCAAAAUGUUGCCAUUUCAGUUGGAUUUAUUUCAAGCUAGGUUUAGAUCCGGAUUUUUGACACUUCAGUAUCAUACUUUAAAAUUCACUCAAAAAUAUCGAAGUAUUUGGUAGUGUUUUCAGAUGAGAUUUCCUAAGUAGAGUUUCUUCUUGCUCUCUUCUGCUCUCACUGUGUGCCAGGUUGCGUCCCGUGCCAGCUUUGGAUGAAGAGUGGACAGAACAGAAGGACACAGCGUUCGUCAGCUCCACUUUACAAUCAUCUGCAGGAAAGUCCUCUUUUAUAGCUGAAUAUUUUUUUGUCAGCUUGGUGAACAUGACUGGGAAAAAAAGAUGUCGUAGUAAGAUUGCUGCCUCCGUACACUGACUGUCCAAGCCUCGCAGAUGUGUGAAGAAGUGAAGUUGGAAAGGAGGUGAAGUUUGAAACCCAGAUGCAACCCUGUACAGAUGCAGAGAGACAAAAGCCUGGAGAUGAAGAUGGAAGAUGUGGAGAUUCGAAAACGACACAGACCUCUUGAGCAUCUGUUAACGGGUGAUGUCAUAAAAGGUGUCCAUUUAAAGUCCACACAACAUAUAAUUGCUUUGUAUCACUGACGUGUUCACACUGUAUUGUUUAGGCUGUUUUCACACCGAGUUUAAUUUCGCCCCCCUCCCAUGUACAGUACAAACUGUGGUACAAAUGUGUUACAGUUGUAUUUUCCCGGCUUGUAUAGCUAAUGCGCAUGCGCGUUCUAGAGUUGAUUGACAGGCGAUGUCUGUAUCUAAAAGGUGCAAAGUGUUACCCGAUGUUAAUUUAUUUGGAGACAAGCAGUUAUGAAAAAUGCUUUAUUUUAUAAGUGUCACCAGGAGCAUUUAGUUUUUGACUUUUUACACUGAGGCCAGAUUUUUUUUUGUAACAGUUGUGAACUGUCUGCGCCAAAAGCUCUAGUGUGAAAGCAUCCUUAGACUUCUAUAAAUAAAUAUGCACAAUUGCAAUUACAGAACUUUUUUAUUUGGUUGAUCUCAGUGCCAUGAUGUGUGUUGAUCAGUUUAUUUUCAGUCCAGGCUUCAUGAUGCACCUCUCUCCGGCAUGUCAGACUGUCCUUUGGGGUGAGGUAGUAGGUUGUAUAGUUUUAGGGUGAUACCCUUCCUGUUAGAUAACUAUACAACUUACUGUCUUUCCUGAAGAGGCUGUAAUAUCAUCAUCUCCAUCAUUGUUAAAUUUGCCGGACGAACAGAUGUGAAGUCAACGCAACAUGACUGAGUUUGGAUGGAAGUCUUUGGAAUGGACUACAUGCAUUACUGAAAUAUUGAAAUAUGGAAAUAUUACUUUAUUUCUUAUUAAAACAGAGUAACAUACUUAAAUGUAUACAGCUUGUCUGGAUUGAUUGGUUAAAUGGUUGGUUGGUUGCGUAGGUUGAUUGAUUCAUUGAUUUAAUGAUCAAAUAUUGAUUAUGAGGCUAUUUGAUCUCCAUACUCUCUCUCUCUUUGGUCUAUCGUGAUGUUCGUUCAGGGUGAGGUAGUAGGUUGUGUGGUUUCAGGGUAGUGAUUUUGCCCCAUCGGGAGUUAACUAUACAACCUACUGCCUUCCCUGGAGGACAGCAAUACAGCAACUGAACAUCAGCAGAGGGCGCUGCCAUCUCUGAUGCAAUCAGGACAUGAAGGUACAUUCAUAUGAUCAAUUUAACAAAAUAUUAAUAUUGCUAAAUAGUAGCCUGAACAAAUACACAAAAGAGUAAUUUUCGGAAUAUCUGUUACUUAAUGUUUGGUUGUUUAUUCCUACAACUGUCAAGCAAAUACAUAAAUAUUAUUAGAAUGUAUGAGUCACAAACACAAGUAGAUUAGCACUAUCUGUUAAAACUUCAUUAUGUCUGAUAGAAACUCAGUGUAAAUUAAUGCAUUUUAUUUGUCUUAUUUCACAUUACCUUAAAAAAGUGCUUUUAUUUUUUUUUAUUUUUUUUUUUAUCAUAAAUACACUUGUAAAAUGUUUAGGCUUAAAGGGAUAGUUCACCCAAAAAUGAAAAUUCUCUCAUCAUUUAUUCACCCUUAUGCCAUCCCAGAUUUGUCUGACUUU